rnacentral:rRNA from 1 species
CGAGUUCCCAUACGAUCACCGAAGUUAAGCAACGCCGAGCCUGGUCAAUACCUAGAUGGGUAACCGCUUGGGAAUACCAGGUGCUGUGA